rnacentral:lncRNA from 1 species
AGCGACACAAAAGAUGUCAUCACAUGUCUAUAACAAAUAACGAAGCAAGCCCAGCAAGGUGACUUCGGCGGGGGGGUGGGGGGGGUAGAAAUACCGGUGCUCCCCAACAAUUCUUUCAACGGAUGUGUGAAAAAAAAAUGUGUAAAGAAAUGUUGAAAGCCAGCUAGGUCAGGACUGAAAGAGGAGGAAGGGGGACGAGGAGAGAGAGAAGAAGAGAAGAAGAAGAAGAGGGAGAGGGAGGGGAGGGGAGGGGAGGGGAGGGGAGGAAGAAGAGAGAAAGAGAGAGAUGCUAGAAAGAAAAGCCUCCUAGAACGUCUUUUUCGUUUUGGGCUUUUCCUAUUGAGGUGCCUAGAAGCGGAAGGAGUUUUCCCGCGAUCCCGGGGAUUAAUAAACGCUUUCCGGUUCCGUGGCAGGCGAGCUGGCAGGGAGAAAGGAGCUCGGCGCCUGUGGGGCGGGGCAUGCAAAUUAAAAAUGGCCGUUUCGCCCGGGAGCUAUGGGAGCAAAAAGAGAAAGUAAAUAUCCCCCCAAACUUGUAACCGUAUUACUUAUACAACGUUGCAAAUUGUAACAAUGAGUACCGUGUGAAGGUAGGGAAGAGAGGGCUUCUUUACUUGAAGAUGAUAUUUCUUACCGUGAGCUCAGGGUGAGUGGACGAAUGUGAGUCGUGGCCUGCGUGGCGGUAGUGGUUAUCGCUUCUCGGCCUUUUGGCUAAGAUCAAGUGUAGUAUCUGUUCUUAUCAGUUUAAUAUCUGAUACGUCCUCUAUCCGAGGACAAUAUAUUAAAUGGAUUUUUGGAGCAGGAGAUGGAAUAGGAGCUUGCUCCGUCCACUCCACGCAUCGACCUGGUAUUGCAGGUACUUCCAGGAACGGUGCACCCCUUCGGGGGGACACAAUCUGUUUGCAAAGUUAGACGAAUUUUGCGGCGUGGGCUUGUUUGGUUAUUCCAAUGGCCUUCUGAUGUUUCUGCAUAAGCGUUCGCCGGUUUCUUGGUGGGUUCGUGGCCGGCUCCUGAGAAACGCUUCUGCUGUACAGCACCAGGGCUUUGGAAAUGCUAUACUCGUUUUCUGUUUCUGGGUAGGAAGCCUGUACAAUUGUUUCUGGAAGGUUCUCACAUCCUAGCUUGGCAGCCCACUGCUGUGGGGUCCGCUACUUUUGCCCACCCUCAACUUUAAACUUCUUUCUCUUCCUUUUUCCUUUUUUCUUUCUUCUUUCUUCUGGAAUACAUAGGUAUACAUGUGCCACGGUGGUUGGCGGCACCUCUCAACCAGGCCGUCUAGAUUUUAAGCCCGGCGGGCAUUAUGUAUGACGCAGUUGUCCUCUCUCCCCUCGGCCCCCAACCCCCUUCAGGCUCCAGUGUGUGAUGUUCCCCUCCCCUGUGACCAUGUGUUCUCAUUUCCACUUAGGAGUGAGAACAUGUGGAGUUUGGUCUUCUGGUCCUCUGUCAGUUUGCUGACAACCACUGCUUCCAGCUUCACCCAUGUUCCUGCAAAGAAACAGUUGGUUAGGAUUAUACCUGAUCUUUAUUUGACUUUUUCAUUCCAGCCCGGCAGGAAAAUACCAGGUACCUUGCCUAGUCCCUGUGAAUAAGAAAGGUGCUUUGGCUAGAAAAAGGAAACCUCAUCGGUGGCAUCUUUCAGUUAGCCAAGAGUGGGG